rnacentral:lncRNA from 1 species
UCGCAAAGUAUAAACCUUUACAAAGUUUCUUGAAUCGUAAGGAAUAAAAAAUUCAGUGCAACGGAAAUAUAAAGUUGACUACGUAAACUGUAAAGUCGACUUAAUGCAAAAGUGUAGGGAAAGAGAAAGCAAACACAGAGUUUUUAUCCUAGUUCGGCCUCAAUGCCUACAUCCAAUGUCCUUUCACAACCAGGAAGCCAAUGCACUAUAUUAGUCAUGGUUUCUAC